GAAAAGAAGAGAAGUUGCUGGCGGUAUUUUUAAAUUAGUGGCUGCAAUUUGAUUGAAAGCGAAUAUCUUAAGCUUGUCCCAUGCUGUGUUUACAUUUUAUUCUCAGAAAACAUUAAUGGAAAAAGAAAGGUCUAUGUGGACCACGAAGAUAAGAAAAAAAUGUGGUGGGAGAACUGAAAAUGUAGCCCCUCACAUGCCUUAUAAACACUCCUGGAAGCCAAUCAUGGGUUAUUUAUUACCAGUGAGGAGGCUGAGCUGUUCAUAAAAUGCUUGGUGCUGCACCUUGUUUAUGCCCUUUCCAGAGAAGAAUGGAAGAAUGUUGUUCUAUGACAUAGGCAGUGUUAGUUAAUAACAACUCUAACAAUUCUAACCUCAAUUGCUACAACUACCAAGUUAUUCACAGGGCAAUUCCUAGUUAUACACAAUUACACAUUCAAGGCUUGGUGAGUCCUUUUAAUCUCAGAACUCUGGAGGCAGAGGCAGGUGGAAUUCUCUGAGGUCCAGGCCAGCUUUGUCUAUAAAGACAAUUCAACAAAGCCAGGACUCUGAUACACCUCUGGUUUCUGUGUCUCAGAAACCCAAAAAAAAAAAAA
rnacentral:lncRNA from 1 species